AAAAAAGGUGGUAUGUAGUUUUUCCAGGUGAGCUACAUUCUCGGCAGGUGUGUGUAUCAGCAGCACCAGCCACAAGGAGGGUAACUUACACGCGCUGCACCACCUCGGAACACAGCAGCUCACUCACAGCCAUCUGGUGCCAACCUCAUACACAGACACCAGACAUGGAAAUAUCUGAAUUAUAAUGCAGAGUAUUUUGAGAAGAUACAUUUAUCAGCUACAUCACUAUAGAUGCUGACUAAAAAGUGUGUGGUGGUUGGAGAUGAUGCGGCUGAAAAGACCCGCCUCCUCAUUUCCUAUAUGGCCACCAAAUCUCCACAUGAAUAUGAUCCCACGGUGUUUGAUAACUAUGCUGUCACAAUGAUGAUUGGAGGAGAAUCGUAUACAUUGCAGCUUUUCGACACAGCAGGUAAUGCGGUAUAGAUCUGGGGUUUUCAAAAUGUGGGUCUUGACUCGCACUCAGGCAGAAAACUUGGGGUGGG